rnacentral:SRP_RNA from 14 species
CGAGUUCGGGAGCUGCUGCAUGUCAUUUGGGCGCGGCGGCGAGGGCACUGAACUACAAAUCCAUUUCCGGGGGUAUGUCCGGGUCGGGUGAGGGCCGAUUUUUGGCUCGGCCAUUUUGGGUCGCGAGUUUCGCGACGUGCUUGGCGCAGGUCA